AAAAGUCAGUUCUACAUAAUUAAUUUAACAAGAAACGAGCUCGAGAAGAGAGCAUAGGGAGGAAGAAAGUAUGACGUGAUCGCAUCAGCUGGUUCUCGGCUGAUCUCUACCUCACCGUCGGGCAAUCAAAAUUACCGGAAGGGGAAAUUUGGGGGUUGAUCUGAUUCAUCUUAAUCUCUCUCUGAUCUACGGCUAUCCAUCUAACGGCGACCUGCUAGAAAACCCCCCUUUCUCGGGGAUUAAAUUAUCCUAACUAGUCUCGACACAAGCCCUUUGACGGGCAUCGGCCGGUCUACGACGAGGCCCUUAUGUCUUUCAUGUCUGUCUGACUGCGUGGCUACACGGUUCUCUGCACCCAAUACCGCUG
rnacentral:sRNA from 1 species